rnacentral:rRNA from 2 species
CCCUAUUAUUUUAAAAUUAUCAGAAGUGGGGUAGUAAUAGUUAUUUUCCUUAAACCCAGAGAACUUGGCGGCAUUUGACCCUUUCAGAGGAACCCGUCUUAGAAUCGAAAUGACACGGUUUAUCUUACCUUGAUAAACUCAUAUACCGUCAUUUAAAUACCUUUUAAAUAAAGCUAUUUUUACAGGGCUCAAACUUGUUAGAUUAGGUGUGGUAUUUUUAGGCAUAGAUAGGUUACAAUUUCAGUAUAAGUGAAAUUUAGAAGGAAUUUUUUGUGUGAAAUAGGAUUUGAUAGUAAUUUUUUUAAAUAAAGAAAAAUGAACAGGCUCUCACAUGUGCACAUAUCGCCC